UCUACUCCCUCUGUAAUUUAACUGAUAGCGAUUUUUGUUCUGAAUAGUUUGGGUGGUAGAAACCCCCCAAAAAUUAAAUCUAUGAGACACAAAAGAUACUCUCACGCACAAACCCGCUAAACCAAAAACCCCAAUAGCCCCAUACCCGCGAAAAAUAUAGCACUCACCCAAAUUUGUGACCCUAUCUUCAGCCUUUCCUGCAAAUUGGCAACGACGUCUGCUCCCCCGACGGUCAUCGCUGUUCAUAGUGGCCCUCUUCUCGAACUAAUCUUUAGAUGACAAGUCAUGUGGAGAAUUGCAUCAGAUGUUAGUUCCUUCUCCCUUUAAAAAGUCUUGGAAAAACGAAGAGAAAGUUGUUCAUCUCAACUCACACUACAUAAAAUUUUGCCCCUUUCCAGAGGAUAGGGUUUACGAAAAGUUUGGUCUAUUCAUCAUGCCUUGUCUUCCAACAGAGGCUGAGAAACUGGAACUUGAUCUUCAUCUUGCUCAUGGUAGAUUUGUUAUAUCAACAUUUGUUCCAUUUGGAGUUGUAGAAUUCGAAGGCAGUUCAAGAGGUUUUCUGCUAUGGAAUUAUCAGAUUUUGGCUGAUUUCUUAUUAUGAGUUGUGGAGUCAUUCUUCUGCAGCAGGCAGCUUAAUAUAUCAUAUGAUUCCGUGGUCAAGGAACAAUCAAAUUAUAUGUGGUCUUCAAUGUUUUAGAGAUUUUUUAUUAAUUAUGUUAAAGUUUCAAUGGGGAUGUACCGCAAACGUUCUUUCAUUCAGCUCAAGGACUUGCAAGUUGUCCACCGGCAAGUACGAGAUUCUGGAUAUGGAGAUAUAUGGCCGAUGAAACUUUAGCUAUUGCUGCUUCAAAAAUCCUUCCUCUUUGGAAUUACUUUUGUUUUCUCAGAUUCGUAGCCCCCACCCCCCCAAAACAAAAUAAAAAACAAAAUACCAAAGAAAAGGGAAAAAUCACAGAUGUUUUGUUAACUAUCUUAUUCUUUGUAAGAAAAAGUAAGAAACAUUUAAUGGUUCCUUGAAUAUUCUUACGUGUUCAUUCUGUUAUCUUAUUAGCUCAGGCAAUCACUCUAUCGACCUGUAUAGUUGACCACAACAAUGCAUUGUUCACUUUGCUGGUGUCAAAUGAUUUUACUGACAUACAAAGUAAUGUGUUUACUCGAUACAGCAUGGAGAAUGUAUACAGUUUGGUUUAGUUUGAGGCCAUCAGAGUGCUCCAUUGAAUUUGCAGAAAGGUAAAAGAUCUUUGUUAUUGGUGUUAUGCAGUAUCUUUGUUUAGCUUCAAGGAGUUACAACUUGAAACAGUGCUUAGUACUUUAUUUUAAUGGUUGUAGGGUGAGAGAUAAUCUCAAAACGUGUUGCCUUAAAAAUGGUGCAUGGGAUGGAUAUCUAAAGUACAAAUUAAAAUGUUAGGAGAGUUUGGUUCUCUCAUGUUCCAUUGUUAUACUUUAGCUGGUUAUUUAUGUAUUGAAACUAGUCUUGGCAGUCUGUGUGAUACUUCUUAAUAUGAAGCAAUAUCUGCUUGCCUUUGCUGAAUACUGUCUAUCUUCUCUUUGGUUUAAUUAAUUGCCAUAUUGGACCAUACCAAUUACCUUCAAAGAAAAGUUAGUUUCAAAUCCCUUAAUUUGGCCACUUUCCAUAUGCCAGAUAUACACAGCAGCAACAUACAAGAAGUGCUUUUUGUUCUUAUAAAAUGAAAAAAUUUCUACUUUCAGUAUGCUUAUUAUAGGCGCAAUCAAAAUCCACAAGUGGGUUCAUAAGAAGUCGGCAUUUUUGUGCUUCGUGCAUCUAGUGUGGAUGUGAUAGUAAUGCUUCCCAUGGAAGUUGGCAUUGAAGAAGAUUUAUUUAACUGAUAGUGAUCAUGGUCUUGACUUUAGUUUUUGAUAGUUAGGUAUUGAAUUUCAAUAAACAAAGCUUAAGGUACAAGGAGGCAAUACGAUAUCCUUAGUGGAGAGAGUUGGUUUAUUACAUGCAAAUUUGAAAGUUAUCACGAAUAAGAGAGAAACCAAGAAUCUUACACAUCAAGUAAUCCUAAAUGGGGGAAUUGAAAAUUUUGUCCUUUGAAAUCAAGUUGGUUGUUUUCAAAUCUAUCAGGUAGAAAUUUUUCAGGAUUUUCCCAUAACUCAGGGUC